rnacentral:rRNA from 1 species
UACGGGGGGAGCAAGCGUUGUUCGGAUUUACUGGGCGUAAAGGGCGCGUAGGCGGUCAGUGCAAGUCAGUUGUGAAAUCUCCGGGCUUAACUCGGAAAGGUCAACUGAUACUGCUCGACUAGAGUGCGGAAGGGGCAACUGGAAUUCUUGGUGUAGCGGUGAAAUGCGUAGAUAUCAAGAGGAACACCUGCGGCGAAGGCGGGUUGCUGGGCCGACACUGACGCUGAAGUGCGAAAGCUAGGGGAGCGAACGGG